rnacentral:rRNA from 1 species
UACGUAGGUGGCGAGCGUUUGUCCGAAUUUACUGGGCGUAAAGAGCGCGCAGGCGGUCGUGCAAGUCGCGUGUGAAAGCCCCCCGGCUUAACUGGGGAGGGUCACGCGAUACUGAUCGACUCGAAGGCAGGAGAGGGUAGUGGAAUUCCCGGUGUAGUGGUGAAAUGCGUAGAUAUCGGGAGGAACACCAGUGGCGAAGGCGACUACCUGGCCUGUUCUUGACGCUGAGGCGCGAAAGCUAGGGGAGCAAACGGG